CCUACGGGAGGCAGCAGUGAGGAAUAUUGGUCAAUGGACGAGAGUCUGAACCAGCCAAGUAGCGUGAGGGAAGACUGCCCGAUGGGUUGUAAACCUCUUGUAUGCGGGGAGAAAGGUGUCCACGUGUGGAUGUUUGCAGGUACCGCAUGAAUAAGGACCGGCUAAUUCCGUGCCAGCAGCCGCGGUAAUACGGAAGGUCCGGGCGUUCUCCGGAUUUAUUGGGUUUAAAGGGAGCGUAGGCCGGUCUUUAAGCGUGCCGUGAAAUUUUGUGGCUAAACCCUGAGAGUGCGGCGCGAACUGGAGCCCUUGCGUGCGCGGCAGGCAGGCGGACUUCGUGGUGUAGCGGUGACAUGCUUAGAUAUCACG
rnacentral:rRNA from 1 species